rnacentral:rRNA from 1 species
UACGUAGGGUGCAGGCGUUAAUCGGAAUUACUGGGCGUAAAGCGUGCGCAGGCGGUUUCUUAAGUCAGAUGUGAAAGCCCCGGGCUUAACCUGGGAACUGCGUUUGAAACUGGGAGACUUGAGUGUGGCAGAGGGGGGUGGAAUUCCACGUGCAGCAGUGAAAUGCGUAGAUAUGUGGAGGAACACCAAUUGCGAAGGCAGCUCGCUGGGACGUUACUGACGCUGAGACGCGAAAGCGUGGGGAGCAAACAGG